CCUGUUUAUCAAAAACAUUGCUUUUCGAUAAUGAAAUGAAAGGUAUGUCCUGCCCGGUGAAUUAAGGUUUUAACGGCUGCGGUAUCUUGACCGUGCAAAGGUAGCGUAAUCCAUUGCCUUUUAAUUGUAGGCUUGUAUGAAUGUAUGAACGAGGGAUAGAUUGUCUCAAGUUUCUUUAGUAUAAAUUAAAUUCUAGGUGAAGAUGCCUAGAUUAAUCCAAAAGACAAGAAGACCCUAUUGAGUUUUACUUUAUGUCUUGGUGUUUAUUGAUUUAAUAAUGUAAUAAUGGAAGAGAUUAGAGUUUGGUUGGGGAGACUAAGGAACUAAGUUAUCUUCCUUGAAUUUAAGAACAUGUUUCAGAUAAAUGAUCCUUUGAAGAUCUUAAGAAUAAAUUACCAUAGGGGUAACAGGCUUAUUUUUCCAGAGAGUUCAUAUUGACGGGAAAGAUUGGCACCUCGAUGUUGGCUUAGAAUAUCCUUUGAGUGCAGCAGCUUGAAAGGGUUGGUUUGUUCACCCAUUAAAAUUCUACAUGAUCUGAGUUCAGAC
rnacentral:rRNA from 1 species